GCUUCUGUGCUUUCAUGAAAAAAAGUGAUCAAAAGGACCAAAUGUUUUGGGAAGAAGAAGAUGUAAUUAAGGAAGCCUUGGUGGAGCACUUUUUUGUGGUUGGUGUUGUGACAUCUCCUUUGCUAAUGGACAUAUUAUACAAUGGUUGUAAAUCAAUAGAUGCUAACAAUGCUACGGCUAAGUUUGUCAGAAUCAAGGAAAAUAGGUUUGAGUUGGUUGGUGAUGUUCCAUCCCUAUUUAAUAGCGUUGUUGGUAUAGAGUAUAAACCUGUAACGGUAAUCACGUUUACUGAAGAGGAUUAUGAAAGAAAUGUCACAAAGUUGGGUUGCAUGAUUGUGGAAAUAUUUGUUCUUGACUAUCUAUUCAGGUAUCAUAUAUGAUUUAUUUAUUGACCUGGGUCUUGUUUCUUUAUAGGCUUAAAUAUGGAAAUGAUCCCUGCAAAUAUCUGACAUUUUGGUUUUAGUCCCUAUAAAAAUAUUUUUUUGGUUUUAGUCCCUGUAAAUAUAGAAUAUUUGGUUUUGGUCCUUGGUAUUUUGCUUUAAUCCUUGUAAAAUCAUUUCAUAUUGAAAUUGGUCCCUAUAAUAUUCAUUUUAGUCCUCAUUUUGAGGGACUAAAAUCAAAUAUUCUACAUAUUAUAAGGACCAAAUCCAAUAUGAAUCAAUUUUACAAGGACUAAAACAAAAUACCAAGGACCAAAACCAAAUUUUUUAUAUAACUAAAACCAAAAAAAUAUUUUUACAGGGACUAAAAUCAAAAUGUCAGAUAUUUGCAGGGACUAUUUUCACAUUAAGCCCUUCUUUAUAUUAAGUAUUUAUAUGAUUGUUUAAUUUAAAAAAUUAGUUAAUAAUAAAAAGUGUGAUACAAUAGUGUUGCUAGGCUUUUGGCUUGAUACCCAGUAGACUGUGCAGGCUGAUCAUAUUCUAAUUAUUUAUUUAAUGGAUGCAGGAAUAAAAUUGAGGUGAACUUUACUCGAAGUGAAACUGAAAAGAAGUCCAAGAAAAAAGGGAAAAAAAAGGAUAAAUGUGUAGAAGAGAAUAAGCAAAAUGAUGAGUUGAUUGCAGCAGAUUUGGAAAUGGAUAGUGUGAGAGCUUUGCUUAAUUAUUUGUUUAUGAGUGCCCUAAAAAAGCAUGAGUUUAUUGCUACUUCUUUGAAAGAGAAAACUGAUGAAUUCGUUGUGAAACACCAAGCGUUGUAUGUUAAAUGCGCAUUGAAAAAAGCGGUCACUGAAUUGUACGUCGAAAGCACAAGAAACGGUUGUUGCUUUGUAUGUGGAGGCAGAGGAAGAAAGUGGUAAGCAUCUCUUUAAACAUAGCAAGAAGAUUUCCUAAAUAUACUCGUACUUAUUUUCCACUCUCUCUCAAAUCUCAGUGUGCAGCUCUAGAAUAAUAUUUCGUAAUGAAAUUCGGGAUCUUUUGAAAUCCCAUGACAUUGUUGAAGAUUAUAAUGAUGCGUCAAAACUAUAUAUUAAAGAGUUGUUGACACUAAAGCCGAUUUCUGGAUGUAACGUUUCUUCUGUCAUUAAACUUGGAGAGUAUAAAUGGUAUGCAACUUUCUUAAUUUUCUAUUUUAUAUAUUGAAGAGUGAAUAAUUGUAAAGAUAUAAGUAAAGAUUGAUAUGCCAAUGCAGGACUUUCAUAGCUCAUUGGUUCAGAACCUCGUUCCGAUUUGAGUUAUUUGCUGACAGAGACAACAUUCCAAGGUUGAAAUUUUAUGCACUGAGCACAGUAGCGAUAAUUCACCCCCGUAACUACCGGCUAACUGAUUGUUCAGGUAGGUUUUCAAACGAAGUUAUUAUUAUUAAAAAAAAAAAAAAGAAUUACUAAUACUAACUAUUUCAUUUGAGUUUAUUCAGAUCGAUUCCACUCAGUUUGUAAGACUCGCCCGCGAUAUGUAUUUCAUCUUGAGCGUGCCUAUGAAAAAGGUUUUCUUCACGCUGAGGGUAAUGUUCAAGUAGAAUUGCAGAUUCAGAUGUUUGGGUAAGUCGUUAUGUAUGCAUUAGAAAUCUCAAUCUCAUUCUACUAUUGUUGGUCAAUAUACUCAUAGAAUUUUUACCGUAUUACUGAGUAUAUUGACCAAUAACAAGCAUUGGGUGUCACUGAAUUCCAUGCAACUCAUUGUAUGAUUGUUUUUAAUGCGCAGAGAAAAUUUCUUCCCGCCUCUCCUUGUAAAGAAGUAUCGAACUGAGCUUUUUUUGACGCGUAUGCAUAUUGUGCACAAAAUUUUUUCUAGAUUUAUUGAGAACACAAAAGAAAAUUUGAAGAGCCUGAUUCAAGAUAAUGAUAAGUGGUCAAGGUAUUUUUUACUUUUUUUCUACGAGCAAGUUGAAAAUGAUAUUUUAUUUAUUAUUAUGGAAUUGACAAAAGAGUCACAAACUUACGUGAUAUUGUUAAUUUAAUGUAUGUAUAUAGUUUAGCAUUUAAAUUUUACUAAUAUAUAGUGGAAUGACUAACAAUCUCGUCAUUAGUCGCAUGUAAGCGAAAAACAAUAAAUAUUAUGAACUUAUGUUAUUGUAUGUUUAGCAUUUCUUAGUUAAUAUGAUUUUUUUUUUGAAGGAAUGUCUUAGCUAAUUAGAUAUAAGUUGGGAAUCUAGUGUGGCGUAUGUGUCGGGGCUGUCUUCCGACUCGUGUUCGUCUUUUUAACAAGGGCGUUCAAUAUCCUACAAACUGUGUUAGUUGUCCAUCACAUCAUGAAGAUCUUCCUCAUGUAUUUUUCAAUUGCCCUUUUGCUGUCCAAGUUUGGCAAAUGACAGGCCUUUGGGGAGCUAUCCAACACACUUUGUCUUCUACUACUUCGGCAACUGUUACUAUUUUUCUUUUGUUGGAAACUUUGUCUGUUGAAUUUAAUCAACGAUUGACAUCAACGUUUUGGAGUAUUUGGAAGCACCGAAAUCUUCGAGUUUGGGAUAUGUCACGGAGGUAACCGCCACAGUUGUUGAGCGAGCUAAGAAUUUGGUCGUUGAUUUGGCAGUUUGCUAAUGUUUCCACCGUAGCUGAUCCUAUUCCCCAACAACAACUGCAGCCAUCCAUUGGAGGGGGAAAUUCGACCGCAGUUGGCACCUCGACAUCUGUGACACCGUCUAGUUGGCAGCACCCUUUGCCGGGAACGUAUAAGUGUAAUAUUGAUGCUGCGUUUUCCUCUCAUUAUAACCGUACUGGUGUGGGUAUCUGUGUUCGGGAUUCAGAAGGUACAUUUAUCUUGGCUAAGGUUGUUAGUUACCCAUGUUUUUAUUCUGUGGAUGUUGGUGAAGCGUUGGGUCUUCAUUCCGCCUUAUAGUGGCUAAGUGACAUGCAAUUUGACAACGUCGGUUUUGAAACGGAUUCCAAGCUUACUUGUGAUGCAUUCCAUGCUAAUCAAGGCGACACUUCUGAAUUUGGGUGCAUUAUCUCAUCAUGUCGGUCUUUGUUCAGUUCUUUGUUUACCAACUCUAGGGUGGAGUUUGUUAGGCGACAAGCAAACGGGGUUGCUCAUGUUCUUGCAAGAGAAGUCACGUUACUAGCUAGUCCCAUUGUUUAUUUUCAUAUACCCGAUUGUAUUGAAUCUCUUAUUAUUAAUGAAAUGCUAUAAGCAUAUUUCCUUCAAAAAAAGAUAUAAGUUGGGAAGGGACGAAUUAUUUUAGGAUUGGGUUUCAAAGGCAUAUCCCAACAACUUUGUCACCCAUCUUUUGCUGUUCACCAUUCAACAAUCUCUUUACCUGCAAAUACUUUAGACUUUUAUGGUCGGUGCGUAUGAUAAAAAUAGCUCCCCAACAAGCAAAGCCUUCACUCUUUAGUACUUCCAGGACAAUCGCCAUCAAUUCCCUCUCAUACACAGGUUUAAUCUGCCUCUGUCUGACAGUGCUUGGCUAAAGAAGGCCAACGAUUUUCCCUGUUGCAUCAGCACUGCACCCAAUACGAUUCCUGAUGUGUCAGUUUCUAUCUCAAUGGGCUUGUUAAAAUUAGGCGUAGUUAAUGAUGGUAAUUCGUCCAUCUUCUUUUUCAAAGUCUCGUAAUCCUACCCAAGAGCGCUUAGAUGAGAUGGCAUGGGUCUCUUCUUGCUUAACCAAGGUCCUGGGUUCGAAUCCAUCCUUGGGCGUGCAGCAGCGUUAAAACUCUUAAGGGAGAGUUUGCCGUCCAUUUGGGUCUCACAAGGCUCGAGAGAUUAGUCUCCACAGUUGCACAUGCAGAAGAUACCCGGUUUAAAAAAAAAAAAAAAAAAAAGCCUCGUAAUCGUUGAGAGCUUCCUCACUCCAUUUGAAGCAGUCUUUCUAUAAUACCCGGUUAAACUGAGAAACCCACAUAACUCUUUAGGAUCUUUGGGACAAGGUCACUCUUGCAUUACUUUAAUUUUCACAGGAUCAACAUAGAUUACUUCAAAUCUCAUUAUUCACACUUCUUUGGUUUUGAACACAUCAUUUACUAUCAGAAGAUGAGCUUGAGAUAAUCACAGAAGAGCAAAAUAAAUUAUCUUAGGAAAGGCUUAAAAAUAUCAUUCAUCAAUGCUUGAAACGUGGUCGGGGCAUUUGUUAACCCAAAGGGCAUUACGAGAUAUUCAUAAUGGCCUUCAUGAGUUCAAAAUUCAGUUUUAUGAGAAAUGAAAUUUUGGAACCCAUGUUUUGUAAUCUAAUAUGAUUUUUCAAUAUUUGCAGAUUCUGUGCUUUCAUGAAAAAAAGUGACCAAAAGGACCAAAUGUUUUGGGAAGAAGAUGUAAUUAAGGAAGCCUUGGUGGAGCACUUUUUUCUAGAUGGUGUUGUGACAUCUCCUUUGCUAAUGGACAUAUNUUGAACCUUUGCAUAGUGAGUAGUAUUCCGAUUAACAAGAGUUGCUUACAGCAUUGAACUCUAUCUCAGACAUAGGACCCACACACAACCUUUUCUUAGGUGUUUUCUAAAAGCCCGUGCGUUAAUGGCCUUGCACGUCUAUCCCAGUUUUAACUAAUGCUCUAGUAAUUCUGCCUCGUAAUUCCAUAAGAAUCUGCCUCAGUUCUUCAUACGUAUAGGUGAGUCUAUCAGAAUUACUCCUGUAGCUAUGUACUUCACUCCAUAAGGAGUAUAGAUCUCAUUAAGAGUUACUAUUAUCUCAACAUUCAGUCACUGUAGGAUCAUGUGUUCUCAUAGCAUGUUCUAUCACUUGUGAUUUGUUAUUACCCAUUGAACCUAGUUCUUGGGAUCUCCAGUCAUUUAGGUCGGGUUUCCAUCACUUAUGAUCAAUAGGCAUUAGUCCCAUCCUACUGGAUGUAUUUGUGACUUUCUCUCUGUUUAGUCCUUUCGUCAAAGGAUCAGCUAAGUUUUCAUUUGUUCGUACGAAAUCUACUCUUACCUUUCCGUUCGAAAGAUAUUCUCUUAUCGUGCUGUGUUUUCGUCUUAUCUGUCGUCUCUUACCAUUGUAAUAACGAUUCUCAUAUUCAGUUUGUUAGUACAAUCAGUGGCAUAUCUGAGACUGCCAAUGAUGCUCGCAUAUUCAGUUUGUCUAACACUAUCUCCAGUGUUCUUAAAUAGCUUCACACUUGGGUCACAAGGUGUGCUCGCAGGUUUACAAUUUAAGUAAUUAUAUUUCCUUAAGAUCUUCUCAACGUAGUGAGAUUGAUUCAAAGAAAUUCCAUUAUCAAUUCUAGUAAUCUUGAUUCCAAGAAUUACAUCUACUUCUCCAAGGUCUUUCAUAUCAAAGUUGUGGCACAACAAUGAUUUCACAUCUUUAAUGGCAUUGAGGUUUGAACCAAAUAUGAGUAUGUCGUCUACGUAUAGACAUAUGAUCGUGCAAGUGUUAUUUUCGUACUUGGGAUAAAUACACUUGUCGCUUUCAUUCACCUGAAACUCAUUCUCAAUCAUAAGAUUGUCGAACUUCUCAUGCCAUUGUUUCGGUGCUUGUUUUAGACCAUACAAAGAUUUGUCUAACUUACAAACUUUGUUCUCUUGUCCAUGGAUUACGAAACCUUCAGGUUGGUCCAUGUAGAUUUCUUCUUCUAAUUCACCGUUUAAAAAGGCAGUUUUUACAUCCAUUUGGUGUACUAUNNNNNNNNNNNNNNNNNNNNNNNNNNNNNNNNNNNNNNNNNNNNNNNNNNNNNNNNNNNNNNNNNNNNNNNNNNNNNNNNNNNNNNNNNNNNNNNNNNNNNNNNNNNNNNNNNNNNNNNNNNNNNNNNNNNNNNNNNNNNNNAAAAAAAAAAAAAAAAAAAAGCCUCGUAAUCGUUGAGAGCUUCCUCACUCCAUUUGAAGCAGUCUUUCUAUAAUACCCGGUUAAACUGAGAAACCCACAUAACUCUUUAGGAUCUUUGGGACAAGGUCACUCUUGCAUUACUUUAAUUUUCACAGGAUCAACAUAGAUUACUUCAAAUCUCAUUAUUCACACUUCUUUGGUUUUGAACACAUCAUUUACUAUCAGAAGAUGAGCUUGAGAUAAUCACAGAAGAGCAAAAUAAAUUAUCUUAGGAAAGGCUUAAAAAUAUCAUUCAUCAAUGCUUGAAACGUGGUCGGGGCAUUUGUUAACCCAAAGGGCAUUACGAGAUAUUCAUAAUGGCCUUCAUGAGUUCAAAAUUCAGUUUUAUGAGAAAUGAAAUUUUGGAACCCAUGUUUUGUAAUCUAAUAUGAUUUUUCAAUAUUUGCAGAUUCUGUGCUUUCAUGAAAAAAAGUGACCAAAAGGACCAAAUGUUUUGGGAAGAAGAUGUAAUUAAGGAAGCCUUGGUGGAGCACUUUUUUCUAGAUGGUGUUGUGACAUCUCCUUUGCUAAUGGACAUAUACAAUGGUUGUAAAUCAAUAGAUGCUAACAAUGCUACGGCUAAGUUUGUCAGAAUCAAGGAAAAUAGGUUUGAGUUGGUUGGUGAUGUUCCAUCCCUAUUUAAUAGCGUUGUUGGUAUAGAGUAUAAACCUAUAAUGGUAAUUACACCUACUGAAGAGGAUUAUGAAAAUUAUGUCACAAAGUUGGGUUGCAUGAUUGUGGAAAUAUUUGUUCUUGACUAUGUAUUCAGGUACGUAUACAUCAUCCGGUCACUAAUAUAAGCAAAAAUCUAUUUUUUAGAUACAUUCAAUUAAUGAUGUAU
rnacentral:lncRNA from 1 species